CAGUCCUAUAUAGACGUUUUCUGUUCUACGAUUUAAUAAUGCGUAUACCACAGGAACUGACUUAAAUUACAAAUGUAAAUUGAAGAAAAUAAAAUUUAAAUAAACUAAAUAUCGUGGAUUGUGAUCAACUGCUCGGAAUCAGCAGGAACUCGCGGAAUAACACCAAAUGUACCAUCAAUUGCCAAGACUCUUGCUUCACGUAGGUAUGGAGCAAUGUGUCGUAUAAAUGUCAAAUUUAAAAAAUCAAUCCUCCAAAAAUCAAUUCUUCAUUGACUAUGAACUCCAAGUUUCCAUGGAAGAAUGGUGCAUUAUCGUCUACUGAAUAAAGUAGACGGUUUUGCCAUGUUGGUGACACAAUAAUCUCUCCCAUGGCCCUGAGAUUAUCUGGUGUUGGGGGAUUCACACUUCGUGGCACAUAGCGCAUUGCCCGUAGUGCUUGCUCACGAGACACCUCUAUACCUGCAUUUGGAAAUCUAAAAAAUUAUUAUUCAUAAUUGUCCGUGCAGGUGUCCCCUCUGUUAAAGCACGCCGUCUCAUUGCAUCGUAGAAUGCCCCAAUCUCUAUAUCAUGCCCUACAUGAUGAUUGUGUGGUUGAUACAUUAGAAUCGGACUAUUUUCUGGAAAUAGUGACAUUGAUGCAGUAGCAGUACAUCCCCGUUCGUAACGCGAACAUCGAAGCUGUCUAUAAGGUUAUUUUUUAAGUAUUCAAUACUAACCGUCGAUUAGUGGAUUGAUGAUUUUGCACAUAUGUGUAUCCAACAUCAUCAGCAUAUACCAAGUGACCUCUGAGCCCUGGUACUCUCCUUGAUGGAGCUCCUUCAUUGCCAAGAAGAAUAUCGAUCACUCUAUGAGGUGACCGAGAUCUCGACCUGAUUCUUCCACCAUGUUCAUCUGAUGAAUUGUGUACAUACAUUUUUAUAUUGAAAAUUAUUAAGCAAAUACUAGUUUAACAUUUGUUUUAAAUUUACAAAUAAUUUUAUUUUUUGUCACUAAAAUUUUGAAUUGAUAUUGAGUAAAUUAACAUAUUUAUUUUUAUGUAUAUUAUAAUUUAUUAUGUAAAUUUAAAUAUAGAAAUAUAAUCAUUAAUGAUAAAUUA